rnacentral:lncRNA from 1 species
GUUUCGUAUAUGCAAAGCAGUAAUGGUGGGGCCCUGUACGGGUUAAUUGCUGGACACAAGUGUUGAAAGUGAGAAAAUAUAAUAAUUAAAAGUAAAUGCUCUUUUCAUAAAAUAUUAAAAACAAAUGAUUGAUGUAUAAAAUUCUUUAACCAUAUGUAAAUGCCCUAUAAUAUUAACAUUAAUACAGAUCACCCCAAGCCCAAUACAGUAGAGUUCACAUUGGUUAUGAUCGAUAAUUAGCAGGAGUUUUUGUUUUAAAAAUUAACCCCAAAUGUAAUCUAUGGACAAUUGUUUAAAUCCAAUCAAUUAUUAACACCCUUUGAAGUAGAAUGGUCAGUGUUUUUACAACAAUUAUCUGUUUGACAUUUUUAUGACCUCGAGGCUUAAAAUAGAACAUGGGAAACUUUACCUGUGUAGACAUCGAGGUUUAUUUUUAAAUCAAAUUCCAUAAUAUAAACACGAAAGAAACUGUUUUAAAACUUUAUUUCAAUAACACAAAAGUAAAUAUGAAAUAAUAACGAAAAUAAGGUUGCAUUCAAGAAAAAUAUACUUACCAAAUGACCGUUUCCGGUCAAAAAUCUCGUCAGUUUUAACUAAGCAUAUCUAGACGGCAAUAAUUUUCUAUGCAAUAAACCGAAAGGCCACUUGUAGAGCUAUGCAUAUAACCGGACAAUUUAACAUUAGAUGAAUGGGAAAUGGUUUUGUGCAGGAGAAAACUAUGCAAUUAACCGAAUUAUGCUAUUAAGCGGUAUGCAAUUAAGUGGAAUCGACUGUACUGACA